rnacentral:rRNA from 1 species
UACGGGGGGGGCAAGCGUUGUUCGGAAUUACUGGGCGUAAAGGGCUCGUAGGCGGCCAACUAAGUCAUACGUGAAAUCCCUCGGCUUAACCGGGGAACUGCGUCUGAUACUGGAUGGCUUGAGUUCGGGAGAGGGAUGCGGAAUUCCAGGUGUAGCGGUGAAAUGCGUAGAUAAUCUGGAGGAACACCGGUGGCGAAGGCGGCAUCCUGGACCGAUACUGACGCUGAGGAGCGAAAGCCAGGGGAGCAAACGGGG